GUUAUUGCGAUUUUCAUUUUUCAAAGGUUUCUGGUUUAACUAAUCUCAAGUGCAACGGUUUUACUUGUAUGCUAUACAUAUAAUCAAAUUUGAUUCUCUUUAGUGUAAUGGUUAUUGUAAGCAUCCUUUACUACCUGGGAAUUUAUUAUUCUGUGUUAGUAAAAAUUUAUGUCUCAUUGAUUCUUAAUCUUCUUGCAGUGAAGAUGUGGUGGUUUUCUAAAAUUUUUGUAUUUUGCAUUUUGUUGGUUGAUGACUUGUUUUAUCUUUGUGGUUUUCUUUUAAUUAUCUUUUGAGUAGUUGAAUGCAUGCUCCGUUGCUUAAUUGACCACUAUGGUGUUUUACACAAGAAUAUGAGAUAAAUUAUGCUUUAGUUCAGAUAUACAAGUUUGGAAAUCUGAAAAUUUCUUAUCAUUUCUUCCCUUCUCUUCCCCUUUUCUAAAGAAACAUAAUGACUGAUAUCAAAAUCAUACAACUUUCUUACUUCUAAGGAAAUCAUCUAUACAAUUAUAUACAAUCCUUCUCCCAUCAUUCCACAUUCCAGUGAACAUGGCCAACGGCGUUCACCUUUUUGUUUCACAUAUCAGAAUGGUCCUCCUUUUUGGUAGAUUAGUAUGCAUCCUAGAUUAUUGAGAUAAGUAUAUUUUUUAUUGGAUCAACCUGGCUUUGGAAAACAGUAGUACAUCAUAAUCUUUAAUGAUGAUUUGAUGUAUUAUUGUUGUUGAUGCUGUCGUCUUUAGUGUUAUUAUUGUUUUGGGUUGCAUCUCAACGGCAAAACGAAGCCUGUAGUCCAGUUAGUUGUGGUAAGACUUCAAGAGUGUGAUUAACUGGGCUUGUUUAGUGGUAACUGGAAGACCAGGGGAUAAUUUAUUAACCUUUUUUUUCCUUUUGAUUUAAAGAAGAAACCUGCCUUGGAUGGGUCCGGCUCCCCUCCCAUUUGGAAUCCUCAUGUUUCCUCUUUUUUAUCUAGAUGAGUGACACGUGGCAAAUGAUACAUCCAAAGGUUAAAAACCACCCAUGUCAACUAUGAUUUUCUCUUAAUUUUUUGGGUCUUUCUUUCUCUCGUUCUUUCUAUUUCUCUCUUUGCCCCUUUCUCUUAAGUUUUUGCCACACUCAAACAUUGUCACACUCACCUGAGAAUCAAAGGUGCCAAGAUCAUUACUUUCUGGAAAAAAAGAGGUAAAAGUAGGACAAUAGAUGAGAAAAUCAAAGAAGAAUAAAAUAUCUUUCUGCCAAAAGCCAAGAAAGCUCUAUUGUGCAAGGUGGCGGUGAUAAUGUUGGAGAGAUAGCUAGAAAGAGGCAGAUAGAAAGAAAGACCCAAAAAAUUGAGAGAAAAACCAUAGUUGACGUCGGUGGGUUUUAACCUUUGGAUGUGUCAUUUGCCACGUGUCACUCAUCUAAACAAAAACAGGAGAAAACAUGAGGAUUCCAAACGGGAGGAGAGCCGGACCCGCCUUGGAUGACCCAUAGGAGAUCUACAUAAGGUCAAGCCAGGCUCAUACACUUGGAGACAUCACAGGCCCUCUCCAUGAAGAUCUGGUUUUGUGGAUGACCUGUUUGAUAUGUUCAACUCCAUAGAAGAAUUAACAGCCUUCGAGACAGCUCUUGACCCCAUGGAAGAAUUAACAUCCUUGGAGAUGGCUCUUUUAUUAAGGGAUCUGAUUCUGGAUACAUCUGACUCAUCAAGUGAUGAAGAAGAUUUUUAUAGCCCAUGAGCUACUAGAUAUAGCCAGUUGUAAUCAUGUUGAUUGCCUGUGGGGAUUUUCUAAACAUUGCUGUGUUGGCAUUUUGUCAGCCUACUACUCUUUGCAUCAGCAGAAAGAGUUGCUUGUAGUUUUUGAACUCUAUAUUAUGACAAUAUACUAUUAUUUAUAAUUGAUAUCUUGGUUUCCCUGCUGGGGUUAGAUUGUUUCUGCUUGGGAUGAUUACUGGCAUUAUCCAAUGUUGAUGUCAAUAAGCCUUGGAGUGUAGGUUCUUUGGUAGAUAUUUGAUUGCUGGAGCACAUAAUAAUUUUAUGUUUGUCAUUAAUGGUGCUCAGUUUCCUUGGAUACUUUGUAAGCAAAGAACUUUCUUGUAGUUUGACAUGUACACUUCAAUUUCCAGUUUGAAGGUAUUCCUUUUACACAUUUUGUCUUUUUAGUGAGUUUAUGCUCCUUACAGUUUGAUAUUUUAAGACAUUUGACAAACAUGGCCGGUGAAGUGAUUACCACUGUGGUGUAUAAUGUUAUAUUUGUUAUAUUUCUUUCCCAUGAGUGGAAGAGGGGUUACUAAGCUUGUUGAGCUUCUUUUUAAAAACCUUCAGUAAAGGGUUCUGUGGACUUGCUCUAUGAAGUGGUUUGUUUGCAAAUACGGCUUGUUACAGAAGGCUCAUCUUUGUGACUUGUAUGUCAUGUUACAAAUGUACUCAUUUUCUGUGCUGCAUCAUUUUUCUCUAUACAGGUUUAUGAGCCUUCUCAGCUUGAAAGUAUAUGCAUCUGCUUUUUAUUUCCCCUAUUUUGGUUAUGGGGGUUGCAUGCAAUGUAAUAAGUUCAGAGCCUCAUUAGGUUGUUCUGCGUGGAGUUCUCUUAUUGCAGCAUGCAUAUCGAGACGGCUGUCUAGAGGAGGUAGUUCUACGUCAUCUUGGGUCUGAAGAUGGAGAAAUUGUGAUAGCUAAAAAUAUUAGGCUGUCAGAGUUCCUUGGUAACAUGCGUAUAAGGUGAACAGAUGCUGUUUUAUAGUCUAGAGAUAUCUAAUGAUAUGGAGAAAUCAUGCGCCACUUCAAUUGCUGAGUUCUUUUCAAAUGCCAAUGUGGCACUCCAGUUGUUUUUGAGGGGACCAGAACAUGGAGUGUUGGGCAUGCUAUACUAUUUAUCGAGGUGCAUCUUCUAUCAAAGUAAUAAAAUCGUCAUGCAUUAGAUGGGUAUGUUUGAGAGUUCUCAUCAGCUGUCUAUUUAUGGGAUAAUGAUUUUUAGCAAUGGACAUGCAAAUAGCCGUGUUGUUACCUAGUUGUAUGGUUCUCCCUCACCAACAGUGAUAUAUUUGGAACUGUUUAUAUAAUUGUUUUUUCUGGCUUCCAUUCUUGUCAAUAUGGAGCUGUGAUGACAUGUUCUGGGCAACAUUGUUUGAGUCUUUUGUAUUCUAAUCUGAAUUUUUCUGCUGUUUGAGGACAUUGGAUCUCAAUUUCAUUUAUAGAUACUUAUAUCACUUGUUAUACAUGAAAGAUUAGCUUCCUCUC